CACUCCUGUUUCUGCCUCAGAUUCUUAUGUUUCCAUAGAAUUAUGGGUUCUGUUUAUGGAGAAGAUUAAGCCUGUUAACGGAGCUUGGACACUUUUGAUACAACCGUCCAUGUUCUUUUAGCAGGAUCGUGUGGUUAGAUUUGUCCGUGUGUGAUACACUCGAUAAUGGUUAGUUCCAAAUGACGAGAAAAUCUGGCAAAUCUCCACUACAUAU
rnacentral:snoRNA from 1 species